UGAAGGUUCCAUGGCAGUUGGGGGGUGGCUGAGGGGCUGUCAGUGGAAGGCUGUUGAAUCAAAGGAGCUGUGGAAGUUAUUGAUUUACUGAAUCAGUUCCUUUGGAUUGAUCAGACAUGGAAGGUGGGGUGAGAACGGGGCAGCUCAGCUGCGUUAGGCGGGUGGCCGCAGGAAGAAGGUGGGUGAGAAGUUCUUAGAGCUUUGCUCUGCAAGUGGACACCUCUUUCCCCUCUAAGUUGACCCAGCUGACGGGGGCCCCGCACGGUCCAGAAGAGGAAAUGUUGGACGAGGGGCAGGAGCAGGGAUUCUCCAUCUGGCGGCUUGUUGGAGAAUCCCCCAUACCCUCCCCACAAGGUGGCCCUGGUGGAGGAGCACAUGCAGUGCUGUAGGACAGCCCAUCCCCAGCACUGGACACAAUGGAGUCCUGGCUCAUGAUUCCAAGGCACUAUGCUAUAAGAGCCUGCUACAGCCUCGCAGCUAGCGGAGUGAUGCCUUUUGCGCUAUGCUUUGGAUGCAGAAGGUCCCGAAUAUGAUCUCCGCUCAUGGCUUUGGUGUCGGUGUGCAUGGAGCCGUGGAGGGACGGAACUCGGGAGUCUACCGAUUGGGAAGAAGGGGUAAGGGAAGGUGAGAGGGACGAGAGGUUUUGCUUUUGCUUUGCAAAACACUUGGUAAGUCCAGGGCCAGCUGACCCAUGUGAGGGGACCCUGGGCUUGAGUAGCUACACUGUAUGUUAACCAGGCCUGCCAAUGGGGGGUAAUUGCCCCGGGGCUCGGGGGAUUUAAAAGGGCCUAGGGGCCCUUGGCUGCAGGAGCUCUGGGCCCUUUAAAAUCACCCGGGCGGGCUGCAGGGCUCCUGGGCACGCAGGGUCGGCACUGAGUUUCCAG